rnacentral:rRNA from 1 species
UUCCGGUUGAUCCUGCCGGACCUUACUGCUAUCGGGAUGAGACUAAGCCAUGCAUGUCGAGCGCUCUUCAGCUAUGUAGAGAGCGCGGCGAACGGCUCAAUAACACGUAGUUAACCUACCCUCGGGAUGGGAAUAACCCCGGGAAACUGGGAUUAAUGCCCACUAGAUGAUUAUACCUGGAAUGGCUUAUCAUCGAAAGAGUCUGGAAACAUGCUUCCAGCGUCGCCCGAGGAUGGGACCGCGUCCGAUCAGGUAGUUGGUGGGGUAAUGGCCUACCAAGCCUAUAACCGGUACGGGCCCUGAGAGGGGGAGCCCGGAGAUGGAAACUGAGAAAAGGUUCCAGGCCCUACGGGGUGCAGCAGGCGCGAAACCUCCACAAUGCGCGAAAGCGUGAUGGGGUUAUCCCGAGUGCCGUCCGAUGAGGAUGGCUUUUUAUCGAUGUAAGGAUUCGAUAGAAUAAAGGGGGGGCAAGACUGGUGUCAGCCGCCGCGGUAAUACCAGCCCCCUGAGUGGUAAGGACGAUUAUUUGGCCUAAAGCGUUCGUAGCCGGCUUAUCAAGUCUUUUGUUAAAUCCAACGAUUCAAUCGUUGGGCCGCAAAAGAUACUGUUAUGCUAGAGGACGGGAGAGGUCGACGGUAGUCCAGGGGUAGGGGUGAAAUCCUAUAAUCCUUGGAGGACCACCAGUGGCGAAAGCGGUCGACUAGAACGUGCCUGACGGUGAGGGACGAAAGCUGGGGGAGCGAACCGGAUUAGAUACCCGGGUAGUCCCAGCUGUAAACGAUGCGGGCUAGUGUUGGGGCAGCCACGAGCUGCUCCAGUGCCGCAGAGAGUUGUUAGCCCGCCGCCUGGGAGUACGCCGCAGCUGAAACUUAAAGAAUUGGCGGGGGAGCACCACAAGGGUGAAGGCUGCGUUUAU